AUAAUAUUGGAACUCUGCGGUCUUCCCAUUGUUUCUUAUGGGGGAAAUAUAGGCAUGUCUGUCUAUUUCGCCAAAUAUCUCGCAAUGUGUAUAUUUAGAUUUUUUUCAAGUCUUGUGUAACCGGUGUGAAAUGGCUAGCUAGAUAGUGGGGUGCGCGCUAAUAGCAUUUCAAUCGGUGACUUCACUCGCUCUGAGACCUUGAAGUGGCUUUUGUGGAGUGAUGGAUAACGAUGCUUCGAGGGUGGCUGUUGUCUAUGUGUGCAGAGGGUCCCUGGUUUGAGCCCAGGUCGGGGCGAGGAGAGGGACGGAAGCAAAACUGUUACAUGGGCACCAUUUUAAUCAGGGCACCAUUUUAAUCUCUUUGUAAUUAUGUAAGUCUGGGCAGCGAGCUCGUUUGUCAUCGAUCGCUAGACCCGAAAUAGUCAUAUGUUUUUAUUUUUUCCCAACUUUCUCAUUACACAGACAUAAGCACAGUUGACACCAUCGAGGUGCGGAUGUUUACUUUCUACACAAGUUGUUUUUUCCAGUUUCGUCCGACAAACAGAUUGUAGUGGUAAAAUAAAAAUAAACAUUUUUAAAGGAAUUCUAAGCAUCACUCCAGUCAAAACAGGCUCUGCAAACGUUCAAUUCCAUUAAUUUGCUAUGGGCUCAUGCUAGUGUUCCAGUUUAGCCAACGUUCUUAAGACGUUUUUCAGCCUUGGCUGAAUUCUGACUCGUUCUAUUGUCCAGCCUAUAGAUAGCCAGAGCGAAUUUACGAAAAGCACCUGAAUGUCAAUUGAGAAAGCACAACGUCUAUUCCAUUUAGCUAAGCUAAGAAUGACGGGAAUAAUCAAGUCAAUAAACGUUGGGUAGUUAGAUAGCCUAUAGUUAAUACACUGGCAAGUUUGAUGUAUAAGUAGCCAACUAACGUUGGUAGCUAGCUAACAUACCGGUACAUACUGCUGUAAUGAUAUGCUAUGUGAUUCGUAAGGACAGCGUAGCUAACAAAUUGUCAGCCAACAUAACGUGUAAGGUAACGUAUUUGAAAAGUCAUUACUUUAUUACAUUGAGUAGCAAGCUACCCCUUGGUCGUUAGGGCAAACCUGGUCUGUGAUAGGAGGGGGGUUUUCCACACCUAGCUCGGCUAUUAGACUAUCCUUUAGUAAAGGUUGAAUAGUCUAUUGUUCAGCUAUUAGCCCCCCUCCCCAACCUGCAACAAAUUGUUGUUCCCAUCUCAUUCCUUUCCCAUUCCACGUGUCAUCAUUCUGCACCUGAGUGGCUCACUUGUGGGCGUGCUGGCAGGAUAUGGCAGCAUCUUCGGUUGUGCGUCAAGAAUUCUGCGGACACCUACGAAGAUGGCAUCUCAGAGAGCAAGCUGAUCAAUGGGUCGAAAAUGUAGAUAUAGCCAGAUGUUCACUGUCCGAGGAACAGGCCAUGGAAGCUUUAUUGCUGACGAAAGUGUUCAUAACCAGAGGUAAUUAAACUGUUCUGAGUUCUUUUUCUCCAACUCUGCCUGUCUUGUUGUACACGGAACCUGUCUCACAUGCAUUAAUUAAAAAACCCUUAAGAUGUCAGCUGCUAAUUUUCAGAUUUACACAACAUAAACACAGCCAUUUUCACUGGACUAUCUGUUGCUGCCAAAUCAUGAUUUCCCUGGGGGUUAGCCUUGCAAUAACCAAGUGGUGAGACACAUAGCCCUCUAUAUUUAAAUGUUUCAGGUACACUCGGAUAGGUGACUGUGUCACAUACAGUAUCUUCUAUUGACAUUAUCUUCUAUUGUUUGUCCUCAAAUGUCUGUUUUUCAGCAUAAAGUACUCUGUAGCCACUUAGUGUGGACACGUAAUGGUGGUCUGGAGCAAUGAAGCCGUGACACUGGGCACCUCUAAGUCCCGCGGUGCAAGCUCACAACUUUUAAAGAAGGAACCACUGUACGUGCAUUGUGCAUGAGUGUGUGUGUGUGAGUGCAGUGUGUGUGUGUGCGUGUUUGUGUGUGUGUGCAGCAUGCGUGCGUGUGUGUGUGUAUUUUCCAUGUGUGUGUGUAUUGUGCUUGUGUGUGUGCGUGUGAUUUGCCCUGGAGGACUGAGUCACCGCCAUGAUUCAAUGGAGACACACAUACACACCAUCAGCUAUAGGGGACAGGACCAUGCCCCAGUUCAUAUGCUGAGUAACAGGACAGAAGGCCCAAUGAAGACCGAAGAACAAAAGGUUAAAGGUCAUGCCAUAUUAUAAUUUAUGAUAUUCCUCGUUCUGAUAUUUCCAAUAUUUUUCCACUUUUGGAUAAUGUGUGUAUUGUUAUUGUAUUGCUAGAUAUUACUGACUGUUGGAGCUAGACGCGUAAUAUUACUGACUGUUGGAGCUAGACGCGUAAAAUUACUGACUGUUGGAGUUGUAAACAUAAUAUUACUGACUGUUGGAAACAUAAUAUUACUGACUGUUGGAAACAUAAUAUUACUGACUGUUGGAAAUAUAAUAUUACUGACUGUUGGAAACAAUAUUACUGACUGUUGGAAACAUAAUAUUACUGACUGUUGGAGUUGGAAACAUAAUAUUACUGACUGUUGGAAACAUAAUAUUACUGACUGUUGGAAACAUAAUAUUACUGACUGUUGGAGUUGGAAACAUAAUAUUACUGACUGUUGGAAACAUAAUAUUACUGACUGUUGUAAACAUAAUAUUACUGACUGUUGGAGUUAGAAUCAUAAUAUUACUGACUGUUGGAGUUGGAAACAUAAUAUUACCGACUGUUGGAGUUAGAAACAUAAUAUUACCGACUGUUGGAGUUAGAAACAUAAUAUUACUGACUGUUGGAGUUGGAAACAUAAUAUUACCGACUGUUGGAGUUAGAAACAUAAUAUUACUGACUGUUGGAAACAUAACAUUACUGACUAUUGGAGUUGGAAACAUAAUAUUCCUGACUGUUGGAAACAUAAUAUUACUGACUGUUGGAAACAUAAUAUUACUGACUGUUGGAAACAAUAUUACUGACUGUUGGAAACAUAAUAUUACUGACUGUUGGAGUUGGAAACAUAAUAUUACUGACUGUUGGAAACAUAGUAUUACUGACUGUUGGAAACAUAAUAUUACUGACUGUUGGAGUUGGAAACAUAAUAUUACUGACUGUUGGAGUUGGAAACAUAAUAUUACUGACUGUUGGAAACAUAAUAUUACUGACUGUUGGAAACAUAAUAUUACUGACUGUUGGAAACAUAAUAUUACUGACUGUUGGAAACAAUAUUACUGACUGUUGGAAACAUAAUAUUACUGACUGUUGGAGUUGGAAACAUAAUAUUACUGACUAUUGGAGUUGGAAACAUAAUAUUCCUGACUGUUGGAAACAUAAUAUUACUGACUGUUGGAAACAUAAUAUUACUGACUGUUGGAAACAUAAUAUUACUGACUGUUGGAAACAUAAUAUUACUGACUGUUGGAGUUGGAAACAUAAUAUUACUGACUGUUGGAAACAUAAUAUUACUGACUGUUGGAGUUGGAAACAUAAUAUUACUGACUGUUGGAGUUGGAAACAUAAUAUUACUGACUGUUGGAAACAUAAUAUUACUGACUGUUGGAAACAUAAUAUUACUGACUGUUGUAAACAUAAUAUUACUGACUGUUGGAGUUAGAAUCAUAAUAUUACCGACUGUUGGAGUUAGAAACAUAAUAUUACCGACUGUUGGAGUUAGAAACAUAAUAUUACUGACUGUUGGAAACAUAAUAUUACUGACUGUUAGAAACAUAAUAUUCCUGACUGUUGGAAACAUAAUAUUACUGACUGUUGGAGUUGGAAACAUAAUAUUCCUGACUGUUGCAGUUAGAAUCAUAAUUACUGACUGUUGGAGCUAGAAACAUAAUAUUAUUGACUGUUGGAAACAUAAUAUUACUGACUGUUGGAAACAUAAUAUUACUGACUGUUGGAAACAUAAUAUUACUGACUGUUGGAGUUGUAAACAUAAUAUUACUGACUGUUGGAAACAUAAUAUUACUGACUGUUGGAGUUAGAAUCAUAAUAUUACUGACUGUUACAGAUGAAGAACCACAUAUGUUACAUUUAACUACUUUUAAUAUAAACAUCAUACACCAUUAUUUGAUAUCCUGUCUAUAAAAUGAAGUGGUCAUGCAAACUCUUUACGCACCCAUUAGCCGGUAUUUCACAUUUAAAAUAGACUCACCCAGUGCUUAAUUUGUAAAUCGGGAGGUGCCGGAACUCAUGAGAAAAUAAAUCACCUUUAUGAUAAAGCAUUGCGGGCAUAUCAUCACAUUUUCGUAGUGCCAUAGAGCAGUAGAGUUGAGGCACUUAUAGAGGUUGCACACAUGGGGAACAUUUUUAGCAGCCUAGGGUCCGGGAAAAAUGUGGCCUUUUAUAAACGCAUUUCAUGCAAUUCCACUUCAUUUUACAUGACUGGAGACUUUGGCAGAAUCUUUUUUAAAACCACACAAAUUAUCGAAAUGGCAGGAUACUUUGACACUGACAAACUGAGAAUCUAAGUUCAAUAAAAACGACCUUGUCUUGAAUCCAUCAAUAGUCUAUCCCAAGCGGUGUGGAGACACAUGUUGUAGGCUACAAUACGAGGAGGAAAUUAUAGUCAUAAACAUGCUUUCCAGUUUCACUGACACACCCAAUGAUGAGCAGCUCAGUCACUGGUGAUAUUUUGGUAGCCUACAGCAUAGAGUAUUUUCUUUUCAGCAGGAACCAUUUGCUUUCCAACCUGUGUUUUCCCUCGAUUGUAUUUGAAAUAUUGCAUACCCAGAAAAACCUAUAUGUCCGAAGCAAAAAAUGGAGCGGCCAGUGGUUUGUCUGAGCGCAGCGGGCAAAACCCGUCAAAUAUUAUAAAAAAUGGAAGAAUAAACAUAAAUUAAUGGAAGACUUGAGGGAUGCAGGGAAACCUUACAUCGUUCUCAAGGGAGAACAAAAACAAGGGAAAAGAGCAUGGGAAGAGGUACGUGGAAGAACCAUCUAUGUAAAAGGUUCUGUUGGCUAACGUUAGCUAGCUAGCAUGGUAUUGUUUGCUUUAGCCUAAUAAUUAUCCUGAUAGAUGUCAAAACAUUAGACAUAAAACUGUCAUCAUGUUAAAUUGGUAAAUGGCAUGGUUUUUGUUUGGAUUUUAUGGUAACUUCUGCACAGAUACCUGUGUGCCAAACUUCUAGAGGAGCGCAAGCUACAGCUUGUCAUAUGACGACAAGCCUGGAUUCUUUCUGGAUUGGAACAGGCAAGUUGAGAACAUGUUCUCAUUUACAACUGCGACCUGGCCAAGAUAAAGCAAAGCAGUGCGACACAAACAACAACACAGAGUUACACAUGGAAUAAACAAACAUACGGUCAAUAAUACAAUAGAGAAAGUCUAUAUACAGUGUGUGCAAAUGAUGUAGGAUAAGGGAGGUAAGGCAAUAAAUAGUCCACAGUCCGGAACCUCCAGAGACGGUCCACAGUCCGGAACCUCCAGAGACGGCUUACAGUCCAGAACCUCCUGAGACGGCUUACAGUCCGGAACCUCCUGAGACGGUCCACAGUCCGGAACCUCCUGAGACGGUCCACAGUCCGGAACCUCCUGAGACGGUCCAUGGCCCGAAGCCUCCAGCGAUGAUCCAUGGCCCGGAGCCUCCAGCGAUGAUCCAUGGCCCGGAGCCUCCAGUGAAGAGCCAAGGCCCAGAGCCAAGGCCCAGAGCCUUCAGCGACGGUCUGCAGUCCAGAGCCUCCAGCGACGGUCUGCAGUCCAGAGUCUUCAGCAACGGUCUGCAAUCCAGAGUCUUCAGCGACGGUCGGCAGUCCAGAGCCUUCAGCGACGGUCGGCAGUCCAGCGCCUCCAACGACGGCCGGCAGUCCAGAGCCUCCAGCGACGGUCGGCAGUCUAGAGCCUCCAGCGACGGUCUGCAGUCCAGAGCCUCCAGCGACGGUCUGCAGUCCAGGGCCUCCAGCGACGGUCUGAGGUCCAGAGCCUCCAGCGACGGUCUGCAGUCCAGAGCCUCCAACGACGGCCGGCAGUCCAGAGCCUCCAGCGACGGUCGGCAGUCUAGAGCCUCCAGCGACGGUCUGCAGUCCAGAGCCUCCAGCGACGGUCUGCAGUCCAGGGCCUCCAGCGACGGUCUGAGGUCCAGAGCCUCCAGCGACGGUCUGCAGUUCAGAGCCUUCGGCAACGGUCGGCAGUCCAGAGCCUCCGGCGACGAUCUAUGGUCCGGUUCCUCCGGCAACGAUCUACGGUCCGGAGCCUCCGGCGACGAUCCACGGUCCGGUUUCACGGAAGUGGGGGGAGCCUCAAGCGGAGCGGGGUCUGCGUCCCGCACCGGAGCCUCCACCGAGAGGAGUUGCCCACCUGGGUGAUGCCCACUUGGGUGGGCAUAUCUAUGUGUCUAUUUCUUUGUUGGCCUAGUAUGGUUCCCAAUCAGAGGCAGCUGUUUAUCAUUGUCUCUGAUUGGGGAUCAUACUGAGUCAGCCCUUUUUCCCACCUGUGAUUGUGGGAUCUUGUUUUUGUGUAGCUGCCUGUGAGCAGCCCAGAACGUAACGCUUCAUUUUCUUCUGUAUUGUUU
rnacentral:lncRNA from 1 species